AUUGAACGCUGGCGGCAGGCCUAACACAUGCAAGUCGAACGAGUGGCGGACGGGUGAGUAAUGUCUGGGAAACUGCCUGAUGGAGGGGGAUAACUACUGGAAACGGUAGCUAAUACCGCAUACCAUCAGAUGUGCCCAGUUGGGAUUAGCUUGUUGGUGGGGUAACGGCUCACCAAGGCCACGAUGCAUAGCCGACCUGAGAGGGUGAUCGGCCACACUGGGACUGAGACACGGCCCAGACUCCUACGGGAGGCAGCAGUAGGGAAUCUUCGGCAAUGGACGAAAGUCUGACCGAGCAACGCCGCGUGUAUGAAGAAGGCCUUCGGGUUGUAAAGUACUUUCAGCGGGGAGGCGUUACCCGCAGAAGAAGCACCGGCUAACUCCGUGCCAGCAGCCGCGGUAAUUC
rnacentral:rRNA from 1 species